rfam:Hordeum vulgare subsp. vulgare, WGS project CAJW01000000 data, contig: morex_contig_1562873
GUUGUACUCCAUCCGUCCCGAAUUACUUGUCGCAGAAAUGGAUAAAAAUGGAUGUAUCUAGAACUAAAAUACAUCCAUUUCUGCGACAAGUAAUUCCGUAUGGAUGGAGUACUAA